AGUGAACGCUGGCGGUAGGCCUAACACAUGCAAGUCGAACGGCAGCACAGUAAGAGCUUGCUCUUACGGGUGGCGAGUGGCGGACGGGUGAGGAAUACAUCGGCAUCUACUUUUUCGUGGGGGAUAACGUAGGGAAACUUACGCUAAUACCGCAUACGACCUACGGGUGAAAGCAGGGGAUCUUCGGACCUUGCGCGAUUGAAUGAGCCGAUGUCGGAUUAGCUAGUUGGCGGGGUAAAGGCCCACCAAGGCGACGAUCCGUAGCUGGUCUGAGCGGAUGGUCAGCCACACUGGAACUGAGACACGGACCAGACGCCUACGGGAGGCAGCAGUGGGGAAUAUUGGACAAUGGGCGCAAGCCUGAUCCAGCCAUACCGCGUGGGUGAAGAAGGCCUUCGGGUUGUAAAGCCCUUUUGUUGGGAAAGAAAAGCAGCAGGUUAAUACCCCGCUGUUCUGACGGUACCCAAAGAAUAAGCACCGGCUAACUUCGUG
rnacentral:rRNA from 1 species